UGCCUUCCUAACAUACUGCGAAAGGGAGUCUGCUCUAAAGGCCCAGAGUGCACUGCAUGAACAGAAGACACUGCCGGGGAUGAACAGACCGAUCCAGGUGAAACCAGCGGACAGCGAAAGCCGAGGAGAAGACAGAAAACUCUUCGUGGGCAUGCUCAAUAAGCAGCAGUCAGAAGAUGACGUGCGCAGGCUAUUCGAGGCAUUUGGCAACAUCGAGGAGUGCACAAUCCUUCGGGGACCCGAUGGCAACAGCAAAGGGUGUGCAUUUGUGAAAUACUCUUCACAUGCGGAGGCCCAAGCAGCUAUCAAUGCCUUGCAUGGCAGCCAGACAAUGCCGGGAGCCUCUUCAAGCCUGGUGGUGAAGUUUGCGGAUACGGACAAGGAGCGUACAAUGAGGCGCAUGCAGCAAAUGGCGGGGCAAAUGGGCAUGUUCAACCCCAUGGCCAUCCAGUUUGGAGCCUAUGGCGCCUAUGCACAGGCACUGAUGCAGCAGCAGGCCGCAAUCAUGGCUUCGGUGGCGCAGGGCGGCUACCUGAACCCCAUGGCAGCCUUCGCCGCGGCCCAGAUGCAGCAGAUGGCGGCUCUGAACAUGAACGGCCUGGCGGCCGCCCCCAUGACUCCAACCUCAGGUGGAAGCACGCCUCCUGGCAUAACUGCACCAGCUGUGCCUAGCAUCCCAUCUCCAAUUGGGGUGAAUGGUUUCACUGGCCUCCCGCCGCAGGCUAAUGGGCAGCCCGCCGCAGAAGCCGUGUUUGCUAAUGGCAUCCACCCUUAUCCAGCACAAAGCCCCACUGCAGCAGACCCCUUGCAGCAAGCCUACGCUGGAGUGCAGCAGUACGCAGGUCCUGCUUAUCCUGCUGCUUAUGGCCAGAUUAGCCAAGCGUUCCCACAGCCGCCUCCCAUGAUCCCACAGCAACAGAGAGAAGGACCAGAGGGCUGUAACCUGUUUAUCUACCAUCUGCCCCAGGAGUUUGGGGAUGCUGAGCUGAUGCAGAUGUUCCUGCCUUUCGGUAAUGUCAUCUCCUCGAAAGUGUUUGUGGAUCGGGCGACAAACCAAAGUAAAUGCUUUGGUUUUGUGAGUUUUGACAAUCCUGCCAGUGCCCAAGCUGCCAUCCAGGCUAUGAAUGGCUUCCAGAUUGGCAUGAAAAGGCUGAAGGUGCAGCUGAAGAGGCCAAAGGAUGCUAAUCGUCCCUACUGAAGGGUUAUGGGAAACACUGGAUACAAAGCACUAGCACAGAGCCAGUCAAAUCCACCACAGUCUCGCGCUGAGCUAGGAAAAAAGUUCACGUAAUGACAUGAAAGUGGAGAAUACAGUCCCCCAGGCCGGCAGCAGCUGAAUGGGCCACAUUUAGAAAAAAAAAAAAAAAAAAAAAAAAGUAUAUAUAUUAAAAAAACGGGAACUGUUGGAUUACACCUUUGACAUAUCAGCAAAUAUCAAUCAAGCUGAAGACUUCAGACUUAUUCUCUCUUUGAUUGUUUAGACUGUAACAUUUCUUCAAGAAAAGUAUCACAUCUGCUGACUUCGAAGGACUUGCGCUUGAAAACAAACAAACACAUAAGUAAAAUCAGAACAGGAACAAGAUCAACCAGGAUUUCUGAAGAGACACUGAUAUCACCACAGCGGCUUUUCUUCAAACAGGAGAUGCAAACCUGGAUACUGACAAAGGAGUGCCUGUUUGCCACCAAGGAUGCGGUUACCAUGUGUGACCCAUGGUAACAGUCACUGAGCAUCUUUAUCUGUCAUUCCUUAGCUAUAUAGGGACCAAAGGACAAAAUUUUUACCGCAGACUUGUAGCUGUAUGUAAAAUAUGGAAGUUCUUUCCUUUUCUCUGAGCUGUUCCUAAAACAGUUUUUGAGAGCGAUUAUAAGAAAUAUGUAAAAACUAAAAAAAAAAAAAAAAAAAAAAGUAAUAAUAAUAAUAAUGCUUAAAAGCUUUUAAAAUGGCAAGAUAAUAGUUCUUUGAUACUUUGGGAGGUUCUUUGGUUAUACAUUAAUUAGAGUCUAUGAAGCUUUCAUAUGGUUUUCUGUAUAAUAAGUAAGGAUUGCGCUGUUAAAGGCAGGUAAGAUGGAUAUCUAUGAAAAGCAAAAAAAAAAAAUAAAUAAAUACAUAAAUAAAUACAUUAAAAGGCAUAGAAAAGAGAAAGGAAAGAUGGUUGAUAUUAAAAUGGAAAACAAAAAAGGUUUGUAAAUGCUUCUAACUCUCCCCAUUUAAAAUCCUAAUAGUUGUACAGAAUUUAAAGAAAGAAAGUUUAAAAUACCUAUAUAAUAGAAAAAAUUAGACAACAUAAAAAUAAAAAAAAAAAAAACAAAAAA